GUACACACCGCCCGUCAAGCCACGAAAGGGAGGGGCAUCCGAAGUCGCCGCGCCACCCCGCAAGGGAAGCAAGCGCCUAACCCUUAACUCCUGAUUGGGACUAAGUCGUAACAAGGUAACCGUAGGUGAACCUGCAGAAGGAUCA
rnacentral:rRNA from 1 species